UCAUAGCUCAGUUGGUAAACCAUCUGUCUGCAAUGCAGGAGACCCAGGUUCAACUCCUGGGUUGGGAA
rnacentral:tRNA from 1 species